GAUGAAGAACGUAGCAAAAUGCGAUAAGUAAUGUGAAUUGCAGAAUUCAGUGAAUCAUCGAAUCUUUGAACGCACAUUGCGCCCGCCAGUAUUCUGGCGGGCAUGCCUGUUCGAGCGUCAUUUCAACCCUCAAGCACAGCUUGGUGUUGGGACUCGCGUUAAUUCGCGUUCCCCAAAUUGAUUGGCGGUCACGUCGAGCUUCCAUAGCGUAGUAGUAAAACCCUCGUUACUGGUAAUCGUCGCGGCCACGCCGUUAAACCCCAACUUCUGAAUGUUGACCUCGGAUCGGGUAGGAAUACCCGCUGAACUUAAGCAUAUCAAUAAGCGGAGGA
rnacentral:misc_RNA from 1 species